AGAAAAGCUAAUCCCAGGAAGUGAGUUAUCACAGCAUAUCAGUACUGCUGGCAUGGAAGCGAGUGGUACUAGCAACAUGAAGUUUGCGCUCAAUGGCUGCCUCAUAAUAGGAACAUUGGAUGGGGCUAACGUCGAAAUCAGAGAGGAAAUUGGAGAGGAGAACUUUUUCCUAUUUGGUGCAACAGCAGAUGAUGUCCCAAGGCUCCGGAAAGAGAGAGAACGUGGACAGUUUAAGCCGGAUCCUCGAUUUGAAGAGGCCAAACAGUUCAUUAGGAGUGGUGCAUUUGGAAACUAUGACUAUGGCCCUCUCUUGGAUUCCCUUGAGGGAAACUCAGGCUAUGGCCGUGGUGAUUACUUUCUUGUUGGUCAUGACUUCUCA
rnacentral:misc_RNA from 1 species